CAGAAGAAGAUAUUCAAGCCUCUCUCCUCGCUUUAAAACCCCUUCUCCGCAGACAACGGCGUUUCGUCUUCUGAUGGCGGCGAAGCAGUUGAUCGUGGUCGUUGAAGGCACGAUGGCCAUGGAGCCUUACUGGCCCACCGUCUUCUGCGAUUACGUCGAGAAGAUCAUAAGGUCCUUUCCCGGAAACGAAUUAUGUGGAUGUGGUCCGAAGCCCUCCACCUGUACCGUUGAGAUGUCUCUGGUCACAUUCAACACUCAUGGAUCUGGUUGCUUGGUACAACGGAGUGGUUGGACAAGAGACAUUGAACUUUUCUUACGAUGGUUAUCAGCUAUUCCCUUCAAUGGUGGUGGUUUUAGUCAUGCUGCAAUUGCAGAAGGGCUGUCUGAAGCCCUAAUGAUGUUCUCUACCAUUCAAAAUGGAAGCCAAAAUCAACAAAAUGUGGAUUUUCAAAAGCAUUGCAUUCUUGUUGCUGCUAGUGACCCAUGUCCCCUUCCCACACCAGUCUAUAGACCACAAAUGCAAAACGUGGAGCAGAGUGAAAUUUCUGAUGUGCAAACCGAAAGCUGUCUGUAUGAUGCUGAGGCUGUUGCUAAAUCAUUUGCACAGUGCUUUGUUUCUCUGUCAGUCAUCUGUCCAAAACAGCUUCCUAAACUCAGAGCUAUUUACAAUGCGGGAAAGCGCAACCCGCGGGCAGCAGAUCCACCAAUUGAUAAUGUGAAAAACCCCCCCUUUCUCGUUCUAAUCUCAGAGAAUUUUAUUGAGGCGCGGGCUACUUUAACUCGUCCAGCUUUGCCGAAAGCUCCUGUUGCAUCAGUAACACAGCCACAUGAAUGUCUUCCCGGUUGCAGUUCGACCGAUCCACCUCCGACUUCUAGGCCAUCUGCGAAUGGAUCUGUUAUGGAUAGCCCAUUAAUGUCAGCUACUACCACAGGAAAUUCUAAUCCUGGGAUGUCACAACCAAUGAGUAACCUCCAAGGUGGUGCUAGUAUUGGGCAAUCUGUUCCUGGCAUAAACCAAAAUCACUCAGGAUCCCAAAUGGUUCAAAAUAAACUUGUUUCAGCAUGUCCCUCUGGAACUGGUACAAUGAUUCCUCCUCUUGGAAUCUCUCAACAAGCCCAAUCUGGGAUACAGUCGGUUGGUGCAAACUAUAGUUCGGUAUUUAAUCCGUUGUCCCAACAGACGUCAAGUGCUCUGCAAUCUGCAAGAUCCAGUUAUGUAAAAGUCUGGGAGGGAAAUUUAUCUUUACCGGGGAGGAGACAAGGACAACCUGUGGUUAUUACUAGAUUGGAAGGAUACAGAAGGGUUUCAGCACGUGAGACGCUUGCAGCAAAAUGGCCACCGACAUUGCAAAUAGUCAAGUUCGCACCUCUGGAACCCCUGAUUAACAAGCAGCAGCAAUAUUCGCAACUGGCCGACAUUCUAGUAUUUCGGGUAAUGGAUGGGCAAGAAUUUGUUUUGCAGAUGCAAGAAAAGAAGCUUUGUGCUGUCAUCAAAUUGCCGUCUCAAACACUAGUGCUAUAUCUUUCGCAGAAAGAUUGCUACUUGAUUGGAAUGCUUUUCCCAUGGGCUAUGGUUGUGUUAAAGCCACAAGUAGUUGGUCAGCAACAAAUGCAACAGCAGCAACCACAUCUAACAACAGAAGCCUCAGCUUCAACAGAUACAGCAACAGCAGCCGAAGCUACAGCAGCAACAAGUGCAACCUGGUCCAGCAACACAGCAACCACAACGGGGGUCUAAUUUGCACGGAGGAGGCUUUACGGAUUAGUAGUAGUAGUAGUCUGGCAUAAAACUUUGUCUGUCAUGUUCGGAUACCUUUCUUUUCAGAGUUUCAUAUCUUUUUAAGUUCAUCAUUAGCAAACAUGCUGGUGUACACCUUGAGAACCUUUAAAGAAGACCAUGAUUGUAUAUGGUUUAUGCACAAACCAAGUGUUGACUACUGCAACAUCAACAUGUAAUGAUGUUACAUUGAUCGAUGAGACUAGGAUUGGUUAC